ensembl:lncRNA
AUGGGUCUUACUGCGGUACUAGUGGGUCUAUGGGUCUUACUGCAGUACUAGUGGGUCUAUGGGUCUUACUGCAGUACUAGUGGGUCUAUGGGUCUUACCUUCAGUACUAGUGGGUCUAUGGGUCUUACUGCAGUACUAGUGGGUCUAUGGGUCUUACUGCAGUACUAGUGUGGUUCUACAAUCCAUUGAUCUCAUCCUGAGAUGUUUCAUGAUGAUCUCAGACUGAGGUGAUAUUUCUAAUAAUACUGGGUUGGACAUAGUCACCGCAGAGCGGAGGGCACAACUUGGCUUGUUCAACCGGUUAAUUAAUGUGUGAUAACAGAUAUGUGUGAGAUAUCAGACACUCCUGUGGUUGUGUGUGAUUACUUCAUAGUCUGUGGACUCUAGUGGUUAGUCAGGACUUAGAUACUAACUGACAUGGAACAGAGUCCAUUCCCUGACUACAGUGAAAUAGGCCUACCGCCUACUCCGGAGAUAUGCAUUGGCUUGGGACAGUGAUCCCCAGGAAUCUAUUUAAUUAAUGCACACAGCUUUUUCACUAAUAAAAUGUUGAAAAGACUACAUCACUAUUUAUUGUUACCAAUAUGACCAUUAGAAUAACAAAUUCAAACUGCUGUUUCAUCAUGAUAUCUUGUUGCUGUUAAUCUGCAUUAUAAGGCUGCGUUGAGACAAUGACUUAUUAAAGACCCAAGCCCAGCUCAGUUAAUCCCUACCAUUGUGACGCUGAGUUGUCAUAAUGCUUCAGGCAAAUGUACAUUACACCAGGGGUGUUGGUAGACACAAUGUACGUCACCAAAUAUAUGUCCCUCUAACUGCCUGAAAGCCUCUGUUGAUCCUACAGCUAUUGCCUGCAGUAAUCAUGUGCCUAUGAACCAGAGUUACACUAUUAGCACUAAGGAGGUGUGUCCUAGUAGGAAGACCACUGUUAACACUGAGGAGGUGUGUCCUAGUAGGAAGACCACUGUUAACACUGAGGAGGUGUGUCCUAGUAGGAAGACCACUGUUAACACUGAGGUGGUGUGUCCUCGUAGGAAGACCACUGUUAACACUGAGGAGAUGUGUCCUAGUAGGAAGACCACUGUUAGCACUAAGGAGGUGUGUCCUAGUAGGAAGACCACUGUUAACACUGAGGAGAUGUGUCCUAGUAGGAAGACCACUGAGGUGGUGUGUCCCAGUAGGAAGACCACUGUUAACACUGAGGUGUGUCCUAGUAGGAAGACCACUGUUAACACUGAGGAGAUGUGUCCUAGUAGGAAGACCACUGUUAGCACUAAGGAGGUGUGUCCUAGUAGGAAGACCACUGAGGUGGUGUGUCCCAGUAGGAAGACCACUGUUACCACUGAGGAGGUGUGUCCAAUAGGAAGACCACUGUUACCACUGAGGAGGUGUGUCCAAUAGGAAGACCACUGUUACCACUGAGGAGGUGUGUCCUAUAGGAAGACCACUGAGGUGGUGUGUCCUAGUAGGAAGACCACUGAGGUGGUGUGUCCUAGUAGGAAGACCACUGUUAACACUGAGGUGGUGUGUCCUAGUAGGAAGACCACUGUUAACACUGAGGAGGUGUGUCCUAGU